rnacentral:rRNA from 1 species
GAUGAACGCUGGCGGCGUGCCUAAUACAUGCAAGUCGAGCGAAGCGGGGACGGGUGAGUAACACGUGGGUAACCUCCUAUAGGAAUGGGUUAACAUCGGGAAACCGGAGCAAACCCCGAUACUUAUAGAUAGGUCCUCGCUGCAUUAGCUAGUUGGGAAGGUAACGGCUGACCAAGGCAACGAUGCAUAGCCGACCUGAGAGGGGGACCGGCCACACUGGAACUGAGACACGGUCCAGACUCCUACGGGAGGCAGCAGUAGGGAAUCUUGCGCAAUGGGCGAAAGCCUGACGGAGCAACGCCGCGUGAGUGAUGAAGGUCUUCGGAUCGUAAAACACUUUCAUUAGGGAAGCGGUACCUAAACAGAAAGCCACGGCUAACUACGUGCCAGCAGCCGCGGUAAUAC